GGUCUCGUAGCUCAGUUGGAUAGAGCAACAGCCUUCUAAGCUGUAGGUCUUUGGUUCGAAUCCAAACGGGAUCA
rnacentral:tRNA from 1 species